GACGUAGGGCGCGAGCGUUGUCCGGAUUUAUUGGGCGUAAAGAGCUCGUAGGCGGUUCAUUGCGUCAAUCGUGAAAUCCUGUGGCUCAACUACAGGCUUGCGGUUGAUACGGGCAGGCUAGAGUUCGGUAGGGGAGACUGGAAUUCCUGGUGUAGCGGUGAAAUGCGCAGAUAUCAGGAGGAACACCGAUGGCGAAGGCAGGUCUCUGGGCAUUAACUGACGCUGAGGAGCGAAAGCAUGGGGGAGCGAACAGG
rnacentral:rRNA from 1 species